AUACGUAGGGGGCAAGCGUUAUCCGGAAUUACUGGGUGUAAAGGGAGCGUAGGCGGCAUGGUAAGUUAGAUGUGAAAGCCCGUGGCUCAACCACGGGAUUGCAUUUAAAACUACCAAGCUAGAGUACAGGAGAGGUAAGUGGAAUUCCUAGUGUAGCGGUGAAAUGCGUAGAUAUUAGGAAGAACACCAGUGGCGAAGGCGACUUACUGGACUGAAACUGACGCUGAGGCUCGAAAGCGUGGGGAGC
rnacentral:rRNA from 1 species